CGAGUGUGUGCUGACCUGUCCCAAGGCAUAAGACAAGAAUAGCCAUCUAGACAAGCAGAAAACAGGUUGCUUGAUGACUGUAUUCCUUAUCUGAUUUCAUGUGUGGUAUAUAUAUGGAUAUUGUAAUAAAGGAGUUUUAGAAGCAUCAAAGAACUCUCGCAUCGUAUCGUCCUGCCUGCACUGGCUGAGGCAAUUGGUGCCCUUUGUGAGGAGCUCAGUCUUUGACUUCAGAGUGACAAACAACAGCCAGCUCAACGGAGGGUGUUCUUACUCACAAAACAGUACAAAUCUUCCUCCUGCCCCUGCAGUGAAGAAAAAGGAAGAGGAGUUAGCUGUUAAGAGUAACCAGAGUGGUUAGCUACUUGAGAAACACGACUUCAACAAAGCAAAUGAUUUGUAUCUAUCUUCCUGAAGGAAGGUGACUAUCAUUCCACAUUCACGUAUUUCAGGUGUCAGAAACCAGACGGACCAACUUGUGCUUCAAAAACUCCAACAGCCAUUCCUUUUAGCUGUGACUGCAGUCUCAGCACCAGGCCCACUGGGGUUCACAGCACAGGAACUUCCAAGCCUGGCCUGGCAGCUUCUGGAGACCGGCUUUGCUAAUAAACAUCUGCUGCAUCUCUCAUGCGGGUGUGUUCCUUCAUUUCUGCAGAAGCUCAGUCAUGGCAUUAUCUACGUAAUCCAUGCCUGAACCAGCAUAUCUAAUACAACACCUUGAAAGCAGGUAUUAAAGCCAGCUCCAUUACCUCUGAAGCAGAGCAUUCUUUAAAUCCACUUUGGAUAAUUCAUUGGUUCUGCUAACUCCUCUGCUCUGCACAGCCUACCAAGGGAUAACAAUAAAUACAGCUCUUGCCUUUGCAUCACAUUUGGGUAAACAGAAACCAGUAAAGGAACAGUCAAUUGUCAAUAUCGUUUCCUAAGUUUGCAAACACAUUUACUGUGCAGCAUUUAAAUAUUUUUUCUUCAGGUGCAACGGGUAGAAUAUAGAAACAAAACACAAGUUGGAAACACCAGUUUUCAUCUAAAGUGGGGGGAAAAAAACCUUCCACAUAGAACAACACACUGGAAAGGCAACCUUCUCCAUUGCGAAGAAAUCCUCUCAGAUGUGCCCA
ensembl:lncRNA